CCUACGGGAGGCAGCAGUGGGGAAUAUUGCACAAUGGGCGCAAGCCUGAUGCAGCCAUGCCGCGUGUGUGAAGAAGGCCUUCGGGUUGUAAAGCACUUUCAGCGGGGAGGAAGGCGGUGAGGUUAAUAACCUCAUCGAUUGACGUUACCCGCAGAAGAAGCACCGGCUAACUCCGUGGCCAGCAGCCGCGGUAAUACGGAGGGUGCAAGCGUUAAUCGGAAUUACUGGGCGUAAAGCGCACGCAGGCGGUCUGUCAAGUCGGAUGUGAAAUCCCCGGGCUCAACCUGGGAACUGCAUUCGAAACUGGCAGGCUAGAGUCUUGUAGAGGGGGGUAGAAUUCCAGGUGUAGCGGUGAAAUGCGUAGAGAUCUGGAGGAAUACCGGUGGCGAAGGCGGCCCCCUGGACAAAGACUGACGCUCAGGUGCGAAAGCGUGGGGAGCAAACAGGAUUAGAUACCCGUGUAGUC
rnacentral:rRNA from 1 species